UACGUAGGGGGCCAGCGUUGUCCGGAAUCAUUGGGCGUAAAGCGCGCGUAGGCGGCCCGGUAAGUCCGUUGUAAAAGUCGAAGGCUCAACCUUCGAAAGCCGAUGGAUACUGCCGGGCUAGAGUACGGAAGAGGCGAGUAGAAUUCCUGGUGUAGCGGUGGAAUGCGCAGAUAUCAGGAGGAAUACCCAUAGCGAAGGCAGCUCGCUGGGACGUUACUGACGCUGAGGCGCGAAAGCGUGGGGAGCGAACAGG
rnacentral:rRNA from 1 species